UUCCAUCCAGACUGGAAGAGUAUCAUCGUAGUCACGGAUACUUUGCUGCUGACAUUCAGACAGAAUGGACAGACAGUAGUCCAGGAGGUGUUGCAGUGGGUGGGGACCAGGGGCUCAAACCAGGGUCCUUGUGCACUGGAACAUGUUCGUUUUAUCAGCCGUGCCGCCGCCUAGGCCCCUCCUGUCAUGGUUUAAGUCCCACCUAUGAGUGAGAUCAUCUGGUGCUCUUCCUUCUCCGGGCUUAUCUCGCUCAACCUGAUUCCUCCAAGGUCCAUCCACGAGGCAGCAAAGCAGACCAGUCCAUCAUUUCUUACAGUCUUUACAAAAGGAAAAUACCUGCCCUGAUAGGUGAGACAGGAACUUCCGGCAUGGUGAGGCAUGGAUGGGCUGGUAUUGUUGGGAGCAGCAUUCAAGGUAAACCUCUUACAGGCCCCUCGUUAAGAGGGAUGGCUGGGAGGGGUGGCAUGGUAGCCCUUGCAGGCCCCUCGAGAAGAGGGUCAGCCAGGAGGGGUGACAUGGAUGCACCAUGACCUUGGGCUGCGCUCCACUAACUUCCCUGCUCUUGUUUGUGCCUCGGCUGGCUGAUGUGGACUUGGCGGCAAGUAACCACUCCCCUGUUUUACUGUUAUGCUCGGUUGACCAUAUUCCUGGAACUAACUACAUAUAGGACAAGAGUAAUGGGAACAUAGCAGCUGCAGAAAAGCA